ACUACAAGCUGUCAGACAGCAAAACUCCAAAGUAUCUCCACAAUGAGAAUGUUAAAUUAGUGCCUGACAUUGUGGGCAAUGCCUUCUAUAAGGAGCAGUUUGAGACAGUAGAGCAGUGCUUCAAAGUCAUCGGCUUCACCCUAGAGGAGCUCGGGAGUGUUUACAGUAUCUUAGCUGGGAUCCUAAAUGCAGGAGAUGUCGAGUUCACGUCAGUCGCUUCCGAACAUCAGACGGACAAAAGCAACAUUUCCA